rnacentral:RNase_P_RNA from 1 species
CGAGUUGGUCGGGCGACCGCGUCGAACCGGGAGGUCUCCACCGUCCGGUCCGCCGAGGAAAGUCCGGGCUCCACAGGGCAGGGUGGUUGUCAACGGCAACCCGGCGCGAGCCGCGGGAAAGUGCCACAGAGAACAGACCGCCACGAGUGGUCCGGUCUUCGGACCGGAGCGCCACGGGUAAGGGUGAAACGGCGGUGUAAGAGACCACCAGCGUGCCGGGUGACCGGUGCGGCUCGGUAAACCCCACCCGGAGCAAGGUUGAAAGCGCCUGCGGUGCUUCGGUACCGUUGAGCGUGCGCAGGCGUUCGAGGGCGGCCCGCCCGAGCUUGCGGGUGAACCGCUGGAGCGUGUCGGCAACGGCACGCCGAGAUGGAUGGUCGCCGAACGGGAUCGCCGAGAGGCCCCCGGGAACAGGACCCGGCUUACAGACCAACUCGUCCA